rnacentral:misc_RNA from 1 species
GGCACCAAAACUCCAUCCAAUUGAUCAUCACCUCUAUUGCUUCUAUGAGAGCUAAAUUCACAAAUCACAAUGCAUAUCUUUUGUCUUACAUCUACUUAGCCUAAAAUCCUUACUCUGAAAAUUUUUUUCUCCACAACUCCAUUUUUUUGUUAGCUCUUUCACUAGUUUCAUCCAUUAAGAUAAUAUCAUCUACAAAUAACAUACACCAUGAGAUAUCAUUUUAAAUAUGAUUAGUUAGCUCAUCGAUAACUAAGGUAAAUAAAUAUCGAUUCAAAGAUGAUCCCUAAUACACAGCUACUGUUACGGAAAACCUGUUCCUAUCCCCUCUCACUGUUCUUACACUUGUGACCCUCUCUCAUACAUGUCCUUAAUAACAUUUAUAUAUUUGAGAAUGUGAAUAAUAAAGGUGAACUAGUAUCUUAAUGCAUGAAUACAUUAUGCCAAUAUAUGCAUGCACACAAGGAUGCAUCAGAUGUAAAUAAUGUUACAAUAAUAAAUACAUGAAUGUGUGCAUUUUCCAAUGUUAAAC